rnacentral:rRNA from 1 species
AGAGUUUGAUCAUGGCUCAGGAUGAACGCUGGCGGCGUGCCUAAUACAUGCAAGUCGAGCGAACAGAUGAGAAGCUUGCUUCUCUGAUGUUAGCGGCGGACGGGUGAGUAACACGUGGGUAACCUACCUAUAAGACUGGGAUAACUCCGGGAAACCGGGGCUAAUACCGGAUAAUAUAUUGAACCGCAUGGUUCAAUGUUGAAAGACGGUUUCGGCUGUCACUUAUAGAUGGACCCGCGCCGUAUUAGCUAGUUGGUAAGGUAACGGCUUACCAAGGCAACGAUACGUAGCCGACCUGAGAGGGUGAUCGGCCACACUGGAACUGAGACACGGUCCAGACUCCUACGGGAGGCAGCAGUAGGGAAUCUUCCGCAAUGGGCGAAAGCCUGACGGAGCAACGCCGCGUGAGUGAUGAAGGUCUUAGGAUCGUAAAACUCUGUUGUUAGGGAAGAACAAAUUUGUUAGUAACUGAACAAGUCUUGACGGUACCUAACCAGAAAGCCACGGCUAACUACGUGCCAGCAGCCGCGGUAAUACGUAGGUGGCAAGCGUUAUCCGGAAUUAUUGGGCGUAAAGCGCGCGUAGGCGGUUUCUUAAGUCUGAUGUGAAAGCCCACGGCUCAACCGUGGAGGGUCAUUGGAAACUGGGGAACUUGAGUGCAGAAGAGGAGAGUGGAAUUCCAUGUGUAGCGGUGAAAUGCGCAGAGAUAUGGAGGAACACCAGUGGCGAAGGCGGCUCUCUGGUCUGUAACUGACGCUGAUGUGCGAAAGCGUGGGGAUCAAACAGGAUUAGAUACCCUGGUAGUCC